rnacentral:lncRNA from 1 species
UUAAAAUAGAGACCAACGUGGCCGGGCAGGAAGAGCAGGGUCCCGCCUUCAGGUGUUUGGGACUCAGCUGAGGGUGUGGGUGCCCCGCGGUGGGGGCUGAACCUUCCUGGGGUGUGGAGAGACGAAAGGAGCCCAGAUCCAAGUUCCCUCGUUCCCGCUUUGGCAUAAGUUGCCCUGGCGGUCUCAUGAGAGAGAGAAAGAGCUGGGACCCUCCUCGCCCCAGGUAACAUCAGACAAGGGUGUUGACUCUGCAGCACAGAACCAGUAGUUUGUGGAGAAGAAUGGAGGUGUGGUGUUGAAUCUGCUAGACAGGCUACUGAAGCAAAAGUCAAGAGAUCCAGAUUCCAUCAUGGGGACACUUUAGGUCUUCAUCGGGUAAUUGAGCUGAUAUCAGGUGUCUGAAGGAGGCAAGUUUUGAAGAUGUGGGUCAUGAUGGCUGCUGAAGCUUCCACUCCAUAUUUGAAGGUCAGCAGUUCUCAGGAAACCUCUAGCACUUCCAUCCCUGGUGGGAUGUGAUGCCUGUCUCAGGGUAACAUCAGAGAAGGGGUGUACUCUGUGCCCUAGAACUAGGAGCUAACAGAGAAAAACCAAAUGUGAUGUGGAGUCUGCUAGACAGGCUACUGGAGCAAGAGUGAAGCGAUGAAAGUCUCAUCAUUGGGACAUAUUAGGGUGACAUGCAUAAAGGAAUUUCUUAUUGAGCCCCAGGAAGAAGAAACACUACAUAAGAGCAAAUAAUAAAAUCGGUCAGAUAGACAGAAGAUGGGAGUCAUCAAACCUGUAUCCCUCUUGCCAGACCUAUCAACUGACCAUACGUCAUUCAGGCACAAUUAUUUUAUCUUGGAACCAACAAUCUUCGGAGAAUGUAUCCCAAAGAUACAAUUCAAAAAGAUAAAAAGGCAGAAGCACAAGGUCAUUCUUGGCAGAACAAAUUGUAACAGCAGAAGACUGGAAAUAAGACAGAUGUCCACCAAUAAAGGACUGACUGAAUAAUCUAAGGUGCAUCUACAUCCUAGAUUUCAAUGCCGGUAUAACAAGCAAGGAAGAUUCCCUCUCUCUGCUGCUAUGUAGUGAUUUCCAGGAUAUACCAUUAAGUGAAUAAAGCAAAGUGCA